UUAAAUGUUUUGAAAGUGGCACCAGAAAGUGCUAUCAGAUUCUACACUUAUGAAAUGCUUAAAGAUUUCAUUGUGCGAGCAAAAGGAGGAGAUAAAGCUGAUAUUCGUACUUUCGAGCGACUUUUGGCUGGUGGUGUUGCUGGUGCUGUGGCACAAACUGCCAUUUAUCCAAUGGAUCUUGUAAAAACUCGAUUGCAAACUUAUGCUUGCGAAAAUGGAAAAAUUCCUAAUCUUGGGACAAUGACAAGGGAUAUAUGGGUUCAGGAAGGACCGCGGGCAUUCUACAGG
rnacentral:misc_RNA from 1 species